GAUUUCGAUUUGUUGGAUGCCCUUGGUGAUGACGACAAGAAGCCCACGACACCCCCCAAGAGACCCAGCUCUGACAAUGAUGGGUUCAGUCUGGAAGAUGCCAUCGGCGGCGGAGGAGAGAACGACCCAGUGCCACCCAAACCACCCAAACCGAAGCCUCAUCCCAACCCCAACCAGCCUGGAUCUUCUGGUGGUUUUUCAGAUUCCGAUCUCAUCGCUGGAGCUUCAGAUGGAGGAGGUGGUGGCGGUGGUGAUGGAGGAAGCCAAAAGCCUGAUGGGGGGGAGCAGGCUGACUCCCCUGGGGUAGUCCCUGGCAUCAUUGGGGCAGUUGUGGUGGCCGUGGCCGGAGCGAUCUCUAGCUUUAUCGCGUACCAGAAGAAAAAGUUGUGCUUCAAAGAAAACGCCGACCAAGGUGAGCCCAGCACCAAGAACCAGCAGACCACCAGCGCCGACCAGCCAGUUCAGUGGAGUCUUCUGGAAAAGUAGAAGCUUGACUGCAAACGCAAAUCCUCGACGUUCCCAGCAGGAGAACAAGACUCCCCUGCUGCAUCUUCCCAAGAAACAUGUGCACCAGGGUAGCGGUGGCCACGGCGGAAUCCAGCCCUGUCCUGCCCACGCCUGUGCUCACGUUGAGACUCUUUGCUUUGACCUUGAGAUGCGUUGUGCCCAUUUGCACCAUGCUGGGUAGACGAGGGAUACUAACGCCGAGUGUUGCACCCCGAGAGGGGAGUUUUGCUCACCCUGUCCGUGGCCGUUAAGGGUUUCCCCGUGGGGUGUGAAAGGCCGAUUGUCCAUCACAAAGUCAUUCCAGUACCGACCCCGCUGAAGCUCCCCCACCCGGAACUCUGGGCCAUUUACCAAUUAAUGUGUGAGUUAAACAGAACUGUCCCUGGCAUUGACCCUCGGAUAUGGUGAGAUAAGCGUUUCAUUAGUGUCCUCAAAAUGUCCUUCAUUGGGUAGGAUUUUUUUUUCACACCAGACUAAUAAAAAAGAAAUUAGAAACCAA